rnacentral:hammerhead_ribozyme from 1 species
AUUCAACUGGUGAGUCGAAAAUAGGACGAAACGCGCGUUAAACUGGAU